rnacentral:rRNA from 1 species
CCGCCAGACUCCUACGGGAGGCAGCAGUGAGGAAUAUUGGUCAAUGGGCGGGAGCCUGAACCAGCCAAGCCGCGUGAGGGAAGAAGGUACAGCGUAUCGUAAACCUCUUUUGUCAGGGAACAAAGGCGGGGACUAGUCCCCGGAUGAGGGUACCUGAAGAAAAAGCAUCGGCUAACUCCGUGCCAGCAGCCGCGGUAAUACGUAGGGGGCAAGCGUUGUUCGGAAUGACUGGGCGUAAAGGGUGCGUAGGCGGUGUAGCAAGUUAGAAGUGAAAUACCUAGAGCUUAACUCAGGUGCUGCUUCUAAAACUGCUAUACUUGAGUGCAGUAGAGGAAAGUGGAAUUCCUAGUGUAGCGGUGGAAUGCGUAGAUAUUAGGAGGAACAUCAGUGGCGAAGGCGACUUUCUGGACUGUAACUGACGCUGAGGCACGAAAGUGUGGGGAGCAAACAGGAUUAGAUACCCCAGUAAC